GACGAACGCUGGCGGCGCGCCUAACACAUGCAAGUCGAACGAGAAUUGAGGAGCUUGCUUUUUGAUUCGAGUGGCGAACGGGUGAGUAACGCGUGAGUAACCUGCCCUAAAGUGGGGGACAACAGUUGGAAACGACUGCUAAUACCGCAUAAGACCACAGGGCCACAUGGCCCAGAGGUAAAAGGAUUUAUUCGCUUUAGGAUGGACUCGCGUCCAAUUAGCUAGUUGGUGAGGUAACGGCCCACCAAGGCGACGAUUGGUAGCCGGACUGAGAGGUUGAACGGCCACAUUGGGACUGAGACACGGCCCAGACUCCUACGGGAGGCAGCAGUGGGGGAUAUUGCACAAUGGGGGAAACCCUGAUGCAGCGACGCCGCGUGAAGGAAGAAGGCCUUCGGGUUGUAAACUUCUGUCGUACGGGACGAUAAUGACGGUACCGUACAAGAAAGCACCGGCUAACUACGUG
rnacentral:rRNA from 1 species